rnacentral:rRNA from 1 species
GUGGGGAAUUUUGGACAAUGGGCGAAAGCCUGAUCCAGCAAUGCCGCGUGUAGGAUGAAGGCCCUCGGGUUGUAAACUACUUUUGUACGGAACGAAAAGCUCUCUUCUAAUAAAGGAGAGUGAUGACGGUACCGUAAGAAUAAGCACCGGCUAACUACGUGCCAGCAGCCGCGGUAAUACGUAGGGUGCGAGCGUUAAUCGGAAUUACUGGGCGUAAAGCGUGCGCAGGCGGUUAUGUAAGACAGAGGUGAAAUCCCCGGGCUCAACCUGGGAACGGCCUUUGUGACUGCAUAGCUAGAGUACGGUAGAGGGGGAUGGAAUUCCGCGUGUAGCAGUGAAAUGCGUAGAUAUGCGGAGGAACACCGAUGGCGAAGGCAAUCCCCUGGACCUGUACUGACGCUCAUGCACGAAAGCGUGGGGAGCAAACAGGAUUAGAAACCCUUGUAGUCC